GGUCGGGCGGUUAGUCCGGGGUGGUGGACACGGGGUUGUGGUAAAGUGGAGUCGGUCUCUACUUUGGGUUUCGGCUCCACUGUGGGAAUCGGCCUCUCCUCUUCCUGCCCUCGGAACAGUGAGUGUCUGUCAGCGCCUCACCGCACCGGCUCUCUGCCUCAGGAGUCAAACUGGACACACUGGAGGCCGUGGUUGAACAAAGGACCCUACGGAAAAUCCUGACAAUACUGGACAAUGUUUCUCACCCUCUGCAUGCCUCCUUGGCUGAACAGAGGAGCAUCUUCAGUAACAGACUGAGACAACUGUGCUGCUCGGAGGAGCGCUGUAUGAAGUCAUCCUUACACUGGGCCAUUAGGCUCUGUAAUGAGUCAACCUGUAGCCGGGGAGGUGAUGACACCCCCCAUGUUAGACUGUUGGAGAUUAUAGACUCCAGUAGCUGAAGUGAAGUUAACUGGACUACAGUCACCUGCUUUUUAUCUUCCACCCUUCUUCAACAAUGGUUUUCAACUCCACUGGGA